GGGGGCGUAGCUCAGUUGGUAGAGCGCUUCCAUGGCAUGGAAGAGGUCGAGAGUUCGAGUCUCUUCGCCUCCA
rnacentral:tRNA from 1 species